GGGCCGCUAGCUCAGUUGGCAGAGCAUCGGACUUUUAAUCCGAGGGUCGAAGGUUCGAAUCCUUCGCGGCUCACCA
rnacentral:tRNA from 1 species